UACAGAGAGUGCGAGAGCUAAUCGGACUUACUGGGCGUAAAGCGUGCGUAGGUGGCGGUUUAAGUCUGCUGUGAAAGCCCUGGGCUCAACCUGGGAACGGCAGUGGAGACUGAACGGCUCGAGUGCCAGAGAGGAUCGUGGAACUCCCGGUGUAGCAGUGAAAUGCGUAGAGAUCGGGAAGAACACCCAUGGCGAAGGUAGCGGUCGGGCUGGACAAUGACACUGAGGCACGAAGGCGUGGGGAGCAAACAGG
rnacentral:rRNA from 1 species